CAAGAUGUAGCUUAGCCAAAGCACCCGGCUUACACCCGGAAGACUUCAUAUACCUAUGAACAUCUUGA
rnacentral:tRNA from 1 species